GUUUUAAUAGUUUAUAUAAAACACCAACAUGUGAGUUUGGGGAAGAGACUCUCUUAAGACA
rnacentral:tRNA from 1 species